rnacentral:rRNA from 1 species
ACUCCUGCGGGAGGCAGCAGUGGGGAAUUUUGGACAAUGGGCGAAAGCCUGAUCCAGCAAUGCCGCGUGAGUGAAGAAGGCCUUCGGGUUGUAAAGCUCUUUUGUCAGGGAAGAAACGGUGAGAGCUAAUAUCUUUUGCUAAUGACGGUACCUGAAGAAUAAGCACCGGCUAACUACGUGCCAGCAGCCGCGGUAAUACGUAGGGUGCAAGCGUUAAUCGGAAUUACUGGGCGUAAAGCGUGCGCAGGCGGUUUUGUAAGUCUGAUGUGAAAUCCCCGGGCUCAACCUGGGAAUUGCAUUGGAGACUGCAAGGCUAGAAUCUGGCAGAGGGGGGUAGAAUUCCACGUGUAGCAGUGAAAUGCGUAGAUAUGUGGAGGAACACCGAUGGCGAAGGCAGCCCCCUGGGUCAAGAUUGACGCUCAUGCACGAAAGCGUGGGGAGCAAACAGGAUUAGAAACCCGAGUAGUCCCAUGA